GAUGAACGCUGGCGGCGUGCCUAAUACAUGCAAGUCGAGCGAACAGACGAGGAGCUUGCUCCUCUGACGUUAGCGGCGGACGGGUGAGUAACACGUGGAUAACCUACCUAUAAGACUGGGAUAACUUCGGGAAACCGGAGCUAAUACCGGAUAAUAUAUUGAACCGCAUGGUUCAAUAGUGAAAGACGGUUUUGCUGUCACUUAUAGAUGGAUCCGCGCCGCAUUAGCUAGUUGGUAAGGUAACGGCUUACCAAGGCAACGAUGCGUAGCUGACCUGAGAGGGGAUUAGCCCACAUGGGAACGGAGACAGGGUCCGGAUCCCAAGGGAAGGCAGAGGGGGGAAUACUGGCGAAAUGGGCGAAAGCCUGACGAGGCAACGCGGCGUGGGGGAUAAGGGUCUUCGGAUCGUAAAACUCUGUUAUUGGGGAAGAACAAAUGUGGAAGUAACUAUGCACGUCUUGACGGUACCAAAGCAGAAAGCCAGGGCUAACUACGU
rnacentral:rRNA from 1 species